UGGGCACAGGUAACUCACCUGGGCACACCUGGGCACAGGUAACACACCUGGGGGGGCAUUGGGGGCAUUGGGGGCUGUCCGUGCCAGAACAACACCGAGAGCGCCCCCUGCCCCGAGAGACGGCACUGCCACCGCCACCAGGUAACUCACCUGGGCACAGGUAACUCACCUGGGCACACCUGGGCACAGGUAACACACCUGGGGGGGCAUUGGGGGCAUUGGGGGCUGUCCGUGCCAGAACAACACCGAGAGCGCCCCCUGCCCCGAGAGACGGCACUGCCACCGCCACCAGUGCUCCAAGUGCCGCGACUCCUUCCAGGGCCACCCUGUUGGUGGCCAGCAGUGCUACCGGCUGCUGGCCGUGGAGCAGGAGUACUGCCUGGACCCCCAGUCCCAGUCCAGGGCUGUGUCCCCCCAGGGACCCUCCCAGUGACCCCAGGGACCUCAAUGACCAUCCCAGUGACCCCAAUGACCUCAAUGACCCUCUCAGUGACCACAGGGGCCUCAAUGACCAUACCAGUGACCACAAUGACCUCAAUGACCCUCCCAGUGACCCCAAUGACUUCAAUGACCAUCCCAAUGACCC